GUGUGGUUGGAGUGCACACCUCACGCCUUCGGAGGUUCCUUCUCCGCUCGCAGACCCGGGUGCCCCUUCCAGGGGUCUCCGUGUGCCCGGCCGCAGAGCUGCGUUCAUGUUUCCCGAAGAGCCCGUAGGGCCCCUGUGGGCGAAGGGUCUGCUGUGGAGCCUUGGAGGAGUGGCAGCUCAUCUGCGGAAAGAGAAAAGCUGCACCAGGGCAGCCUUCUUUCCUUCGCGGAGUAUUUACAGAAGCCCACCUCUGGGCCUACGGAGACCCACAGUGGCUUCUACCCUCAGAUUGCUGGCGUUUCAGACGUGGUCGCGACGUCUAUGGAAAACCACCCUGAUCAGAGCAGGCAGCUUUAAAAGCAGAACCCCUCAGUUCAGUUCCUGCUCCGCUGCUUCCCAGCAGUGUAAACCUGGGCAAGUCUUGAAGUCCCUUGAGCCUCAGUUUCUUCCUCUGUGAAAUGGGCAUAAUAACAGGAGUGAAGUGAGGAUUCAGGGAGAAAAAGUAUGGAGAGUGUUCAGCACAGCGACCCGCGCCGAGUGAAUGCUUGAAGGAUGAUGGCCCUUAUCAGAGGCAGGGUAUAGUAGACGCUGUGACUGAUACAAAGCAGCCUGAGAGAGGCCGCAGUUCAGCUGUGGUGUCUGAAAGGCUUUCUGAAAGAGUGAGCAUCCCGCCGGGUUUUAAAAGAAAGUGUCUGGAAGAAGAAUGGUAAUUGUUCUCUCAAUAUGGACCACCAGGGGCUGUGAGAAGAAGCUGGGAAGAAAGGCAGAGGCAGCCCUGCCGCUGUCUCCGUCCACUCCCCAGGGGCUGCCUUGCUAUUUUCUGCUUUCCUGGGGUUGAUUUUUGUCAUUGGCUAAAUAGACGUUGAUCAGACCACUACCUUCCACGUACCACCCUGGAGCCUCCCCGUGGCAGGGGCUUCCUGACCGGGCUUUCUCCAACCGUCAUGUCCAGCCUGUCUGAGUGUGACAGAAAACAGAAGGGGUGAGCCCUUGGAGGCAGGUGGCACCCACUUGAUGUGUGUGAGGCAUUCAUCUGUGCAGCAUCUCCCCCUCCCCUUCCUGGGGACAACCACAGCAUCACCCUCAGGCCACAGGCACCUGGACCAGGUCUAGCCAAUCCAAGAUCCUGGGCAUCCAGCCAAAGGGGUUGGUACAGUUGGACAUGUGACCCAAGUUGGGCCAAUCAGGGUGCUUCCCUGAGUCGUUAUACGUGGAUGCUGAAAGGGAUGUUGUCUUUCCUCUGGGGUCACUAAACUGGGAUGAGAAAGCUGUGACCCUCCCCCUCUCCCUCACCUAUACCAGACGCUGUGAGGAGUCCAGCCAAAAGAUGGAAAAGACACAGAGAGACAGAGACAAAGAGAGACAGAGAUGGAAAGAGAAACGUAGGUUGCUACCCCCUCAAACUCCGGAGUCCCUGAUGCCAGCUUCACCCUGCCUCCGAGUUCCAUGAGGCAAAAACUAUUUCCACUGAUGUUGGCUUCAGUUGGGUUUCUGUCCCUCACAAACAAAAGACCUUCCAGAUGCAAUGAGAUUUGAAGGCCUUUGGAAGGACACCACUAGUCAAAAAUAUGUCCUUUUCAGUGUCGUAAGUUCAUCCAUUUGAGUGGUUCUCUUGCUUCAGCUUUCUGUGUGGCAGCCCCCUGCUUUCAGGGGUCACACAUUUACUGGAGGGUGGACUCCAAGCUCCUGGCAGUAGCCCCUGAGACUCUCAGCAGCCCUGGCCUCUCCAGUCCUGUCAUUGUCCCCUUGCUGUCUAGCACUGUGUCCGAAUGGACACAUAUGUAUAUAAAUAUAUGCAUAUAUUUUUAACUUAGUUGAAUGGAUUAUGUCAUAAAUGGCGAUCUGCUUCUUACUUUUUUCCCCACUCAACUUUAUGUCUUGAAGCUUCAUGUACCUUGCCCUGUAUACGUGCAGCCAGUAGCUUCUAACUGCUGACGAUUAUUCAAUGAUGUGGAUCUACCCUGAUCUACUCUCCACUCUCCCAGGGAACGACACCCAUAGUGCCACCAGAAACAACACUGUGAUAAACUUCACUACUUGUUCCCGUAUGCGUCCAGCUGAGAAUUUCUUUGGGAUACGUAACUAGGACUAAAACUGGUGGAUCAUAGAGUAUGCAUGGACUUGCUCUGUUGUUUUUAGAGAAAAAAAAUUAGCUUUACAGGGGUAUAAUUGAUACACAAAAGAUUAAUGUUAUAUCUUGAUGACUUUGGACAUGGCAUGCACCUGUGGUACCAUCACCACAGCCAAGGGACUAAACAUAACCGUCACCUCCAAAAUUUUUACACAGACUUACUUUUAAGAAACACCACCCAACUGUUCUCCAGGACAGCUGCCCCAGGCUACAGUCUCACUAGAAGUCUACAAAAAUGCCCACAUCCCUGCCAACACUCUUAAUUGUAAAGUAUAAUAGGGCUAUAGUGACCCAUUCUUGUUUUAACUUACCUCUCUCUUAAUGAGAUGGAGCAUUUUUUAAUAUUCUUGUCAGUCUUGUGGGUUUCAUCCUCCAUAAAAGGUCAGUUCUUAUCUUUUGACCAUUUUUCUCUCAGGAGAGUUACUAUCUUUUCCUUGUUGCUUUGCAGGAUCGCAACACACGGAAACGUGUCCUUCGCUGACUGUAGAUAUUUCAAGUGUCUUCCCCCACCUGUUAUCUUCCUAUUAACUAUAUUGUACUUUGCUGGAAAAGAGACAUUAAUUUUGAAGUAAUCAACUCCUUCUCCUUUUUUGACUUAUAAUUUGGGUUUCUGUGGUUUUGUUCAAGAAUGCCUUUUCCAGCCCUUACUCAUAAAGGACAGUUGGCAUGGCGGCCACAGGUGUGCAGUGCGCGAACCAGGCCAUCUGGGGAGGACAGAGGGAGUAAGGCUGAGUUGGGAUCCUGGCUCUACAACUUGGCAGUGUGCCCUGGGUGAGUAACCAAACUUCAGUUUCUAUACCUGGACGUGGGGAUGCCACCAAUACCUUAAAUACCCAACUCAGAGGGUCACUAGGACAGUCCAGUGAGAGACUCAUGUAAAUGCCUAUCAGAGCGCAUGCCAAAGUGUGGGCACCUAUGAAUAUCGUCAUUACUGCUCCCUGAUGCAUGAGUGUCCUCAGGCUGCUGUGACAAAGUACACAAACCGCGUGGCUUUAAACCACAGAAGUGUGUUCUCUCUAAGUGCUGGACGCCAAAAAUCUGCAAUCAAAGGGUCAGCCGGGCUGGUCCCUUCUGGAGUCUGUGAUGGGGAAUGUCCCAUGCCCUCUCCUACCUUCUGGGGGUUGCCAGCCAUCUUUGAUGUUCUUGGCUUGCAACUGCGUCCUUGGCUUACACGGACCAUAAUAAGGAAUCUUUGGAAUGUAAUGUAAAUCAUUGAAAAAAUACAAAUCCAUGAGUUCAUAGUGAUACUCAGAAUUAAGGGGGGAAAAGGAGAGAGAAAAUUUUAAAAAUCCAAUUAUGCCAACACCUUAUUAUGGAAAUCAGCAAUUAAAAAGAAAAGAUGAAUCAUUUACACCCUGAUAUUUGGAAGAACUCUGGCUCAUCCACGGUUAAUGAGGGAAAGCUCAUCUUUACAGAAAAAAAAAACAAAACAGUUAAUAAAUGUGGAAGGAGUGAAAGAAUUAGAAGGAUCACCAUUUUGCAACCAUCAAUGAAACAGUUGAUUCAGCGGUGGAAGCUGAGCCCAUUAGGAGAAGCUGUGGGGAACAGGAUGCUUGCAUGACGACAAAGUCCUACUCUACAGACUGCUUCUCACCUCACCUUUAUGAUGGAGAGAGCUGGCUGUCACCUCUUUAACCCAGUGACCAAACUUAGCAUCACUAAGGUGGGACAACCUGACAUUAGGUACCGCCAAUGCUGUGGCGCACACAGCAUCACCUGAGAAAUAUCCUUGCCUAAGACAUCUCAGCUGAACUGCAUCAAGCCUUGGCCCUAACGUCCAGUAUACAUGGGAUGGAGGAACAGGUUAGACGGCACCUCAAGGAAACAAUCAGACAAAUCCGGAAAGCAGACCCUUCUACCAGGCUGGCCUGAGCUCUUUUGAGGGGGUGGGGGUUGGGGGGGGAGGGAUCAAUGUCAAAAGAAAGGGGUAGGGGGCGCUGUUCUAUCAUAAAGGAGGCUAAAGAAACAGGCAAACGCAAUGCUUGAAAGUUGGCAUGAUCCUGAUUCUAAAAGAGCCACUCUACGAGAAAAUGGGGGGAGAUUGCAAAAAAAAAAAAAAAAGUGAGUCUGAAAUGAAUAUGCAAUGAUACUAGGAAAUUAUUGACAGUUUUCUUAGGUGUGAUAAUGACAGUUACAUGAUGAUAUAAGAAUAUCUGUUUUUAGGAGAUACAUGCUCAAGUAUUUAUGGGUGAAGUGUCAUGAUGUCUGCAAUACAUCUUCAAAAUGUUUUAUCAAAACGAAACACAUUUAUAUGUACAUAUAUAUGCAUAUAGAGACAUAAAGCACAGUUGGCAAAUGAUAACUUGUUGAAUAACAGUGAGGGAUAUAUAGGUGUUCAUUAGACAUGUUUCACUUGCUUUCUUUUUGGAAAUUUUUCAUAAUAAAAACUUGCAAAAAUACGUGAAGAUCAGAAAAUAAUAAUUGGACUGCACAGCGAAGGGAAAUCUGAGAUCCUCACCACGAGAUGGUGAGAUACUCCGGGCUUCACUCUCACCCCCUGUGUCUGUGAAAAUGAAGGAUUGGGCAGACGUUUGUUUUUAACUUUGGUGAACUACGCAUCACAUAAAAUUUGCCAUCUUAACCAUGUUUAAGUGCACAGUUCAGGGGCAUUGAGCACGUUCACAUCACCGUGCGGCCAUCACCCCCAUCCAUCUCCAGGACGUUUUCAUCUUGCAAAACAGAAACGCCGUACCUAUUAAAUAACUCAUCCCUCACCCACAGCUUCUAGCAACCACUGUUCUACUUUCUGUCUCUGUGAUGUUGACUUCUCCAGAUACCCCGCGUAAGUGGAAUAAAGUAUUUAUCUUUCUGUGA